rnacentral:tRNA from 1 species
GUUUAUAUGGUUAAGUAGUGGGUAGAGUACUAGACUUGGAAUCAAGUUUACCUGAGUUUAAUUCUCUGUGUCAGCC